GGGGUUGUGGCUCAGCGGUAGAGCACUCGCCUAGCUCAUUCGAGGCCCUGGGUUCGAUCCCCAGCACCA
rnacentral:tRNA from 1 species